UUUUAAUAAUUUGUUUGAAACGCUUAAAUUAAACAUACUUUUUAAUUCUACUUUUUUUCUUUCACUUAGAGUUCCACAUUCCCUGCAACCACACCCUAGUGUGCUCACAAUGAUUUUGUGGUCUUCACCUGAAAUAGAGUGGGUAUUGGCUAUUGAUUCCUAGAGCUAUCCUUAUCAACUAGAUUCGUUAAGUCCUUCAUUUUAUCUUUAUACCAACUCAGUGAGAAUUGGAAGUAGAAGAAUCACAAUGGCUCUCUGCAGGAUCUGAGGUGGAAGAAUCCAAAAUGGCUGUCUGUGCUGAUGCAGUAGUGGAGGAAGGGUGAAGGCCUGGAUGCUCACUGUAGAGUCCCCUGUGUGAGUUUGUGUUGGAAGGCUGAAUAUUCUGCAUAGUCUGAGCUGAAGGCUCAAGAAACUGGAGACCAGCAUCGCUAAAGGCUAAGAAGAGUUGGAACUCUUUAAGGAGCAUAAUGGCUACACUUGAACUAUAUGAAUGGGGAGGCAGAAAGAAGUGCUUCCCAGACUGAAGUGGACCAUCUUUCACCUGGAGCCCUCCUGUCGUCUGUGACCCUCAGCUGCCUGCUGCUACCGGCCUAAGUGUCUCAAGCUGGACUUCCCCAUGGAUGUGGUGUUGAGUCCCAAAGGGCAAACCACGAAGAACUAGGGACAACUGGAAAAAUAGGAAAGUUUCCCUUAGGAACGUCUUCCCUCUGUUUAAGUAAAGACUUCUUUCAUGGAUAGCAUGUAUAUUCAUGUUAAAGCUAUAGUGUUUACAUCUUGAAUUAAAGAGGGGCAUUUUGAGGUUGCUGUAAUCUGCUCUUAAAUGAGAUUAUAAAUAGUGACCCACUAUCCAAUUUUUGUGAAGCUUCUCUACAUUGAGCUUCAGAUAGAAGUGGGGUCAAGGCCUCUUACAUUUUAAUGCAUCAUAGGUUGCCUGAGGAUCUUAUUAAAAUGUAGAUUCUGACUCAGAAGUUUGAGAUGGAGCUUCCAAGCAAGGCCCAGGCUGUGGACCAAGUGUGAGCAGUAAGGUGUUUGUACCUUUUUGGAUCGUAAGGCAUUGAAGGCAGAAAAUAGACAGGUAAAAGUGUGUUUGAGACUUUGGUGUAUUAAUCUUUUCUUGUGAAAGUUGAACUAACUUUGAAGUUUAAAGAUUUGCACUCUACAUGAGCAUCCGUAAGUGUUAACCAUUUAAAGCUGUGCUGAAUGCAUGUAUUCAUCAUGGUUGACCCAAAGUUCAUUUUUAAUUGGCUUUGGAAUGCAUUAUGUAAUUUUUUGGCAAUACACUUACCUUCUUAAUUAUGUUUUGUUUAAGAUAAUGUUGAAAUUAGCUUGCAUCCUGGCAUCCUGUUGAGCACACACACUAAUUGAUGGUGGAACAACUGACCAGGAAAUGUGUUCCAUCCAGAGCAGAGGGCAAGCUACUGGCCUGAGAUUCAAACAAUUCCCAUGGAGAGUCCAUGAAAUAGACAUAGCACAUCUGGCCAGACACAGGAACUAACUAGUUAACUAUCUAAGCCUUUCCCCUUUACUGAUAUUAUGCCAAAUCUAGACCCAGAAUUUGGAACAGUGAUCACAACACUGUCUAAUUCCAAUCAACUUGAUUCAAUUAAUAAUAUACUUAGAGACCCAAAACAUGUCAUUUUUCUCUCAAGAGCUAGUUUCAAAAUCUGCAAGGUGCAGUGGUUUGGUGACUAAUUAUAUUGCCUGAAAAACUCCUUGUGGAGAUAUAUCCACAUACCAUAAAAUUCAGCCAUUUCUGCUAAAUUCAAUUUAAAACAUACAAUUAAAUGGUUUUUAGAUUUUCACAGUUAUACAAUUUACCACAUUUUUCUUUUCUGUUCUUUUUCUUCCUCUUUCCCCCUGCAGUGGUGAAGAUUGAACUCAGGGCCUUUGCACUGAGCCACACCUCGCAGCUCUUAUUUUUUAUUUUGAGACAGUAGAACAUUUUCAUAAGCCCUAAAAGAAAUCUAUGCCCAUUUGCAGUUAGUUCUUUUUUCUCUUCCCACCCCUUAUGUCUAGGCAGCUGCUAAUCUACUUUCUAUUUCUAUGCAUUUGUCUAUUGAGAUUCACCCAUAUGUGGUCUUUUGUGAUUAGUUUCUUUCACAAAUCUUUUCAAGGAUCUUUCAUGUUUGGCACAUGUGAGUGUUCUAUUUUUAAAUUGCCAAAUAAUAUUUCAUUGUGGAUGUUCCACAUUUUUCUUAGGCAUUAAUUAUGGAUAAAAUAUAUUGAGGGACAUUUGCCUAUUUUCUACUUUUGACUCUGUGAAUAAUGUUGCCAUGAACAUUUGUGUCCAAAUUUUUAUGUGAACAGGUGUUUUUCUUUCUCCUAGAUUAUGGAUAGUAUUGCUAGAUCAUAUAGUAACUCUAUGUUUAACAUAGAGUUUCAGGAACUGCCAAACUAAAAUGCCUGUAUCAACUUUCAUACCACCAGCACUGUAUAAGGAUCUAAUUUUUUUACUUCUUAGACAAUAUUUAUGAUUGCCUGAUUAUAGCCAUCCUACUGGGUUUGAAGUGAUCUCUAAUUAUAAUUUUGUUUUUUAUUUCCCUAAUGAUGUGAUUUUGAGCAUCUUUUCAUGUACUUAUUGGCCAUUUGUAUAUAUCAUGUUUGGAGAAUGCUUGUUCAAAUCUUUCACUUUUGGGGGGAGGGGGGUAACCAGGGAUCGAGCUCAGGUCCUUGUGCUUGCUAGGCAGGUGGCGGAACCACUGAGCUAAAUCCCCAGCCCCACUUUCACUUAUUUUUAACAAUUGAGUUUUGUUUUUAUUAUUGAAUUGAAAGAGUUCUUUCCAUAUUCUAGAUACAAACCCCUUAUUAGAUGUAUGAUUUGCAAAUAUAUUCUCCCAUUGUGUGGGCUAGCUUUUCACUUUCGUGAUGGUAUUAUUUGCAGCACAAAAGUUUACAUUUUGAUAAAGCCCAAUUUAUUUUUAUUUUACUGUUUGUGCUCUGGCUGUCAUAUCUAAGAAACUAUUGCCUAACUGAAGGUCAUGAGGAUUUACUGCUAUAUUUUCUUCUAAGAGUUUUAUAGCUUUAGCUUUUAAAUUUAGGUCUAUAGUUCAUUCUAAAUUGAUUUUUGUUUUAAGGUUUUGUAUGGUAUAAAGUAUGGGUCUAGCUUCCUUCUUUUGCUUGAGUUGUCCCAGCACUAUUUGUUGAAAAGCUGAUUCUGUCUCCCAUUGAAUUGUCUUGGCAGCCUUAUUAAAAAUCAUUUGACCAUAAAUCUCAACUAAAUUAUAUUUCUGGACUCAGUUCUAUUCUAUUGGUAGACAUGUCUGUCCUAAGAAUAUUUCCAUCCUGUCUUGAUUUCUGUAGCUUUUUUUUUUUUUGCAGUACCGGAGAUUGAA